CAUAAGUUCUAUUGGCAUAUACCCUGUCACCGAACUAUGUGUUGUUCGAUCAGCCCAUAAUGCAAAUGACAAAAGCCAUGGCCUUUCUCUAACUUUCCAAUUACAAACUUUAACUAAUGCUUUCACAAUCGGUGGGUGACCACAUUCGCUUUUUGCAUUCCCUACCGGAUUAUAAGUAGUUGUCAGUGAUAGUUUAAUUCCACAUCUU
rnacentral:lncRNA from 1 species